rnacentral:tRNA from 1 species
GGGGAUAUAGCUUAGUGGUAGAGUGCUUGCCUAGCAUGCAUGAAGCUCUGGGUUUUGCCCCAAUACUACCA